GACGAACCGUGCGAACGUUAUUCGGAUUCACUGGGCUUAAAGGGCGCGUAGGCGGGCCAUCAAGUCAGGGGUGAAAUCUUUCAGCUUAACUGGAAAAGUGCCUUUGAUACUGAUGGCCUCGAGGGAGAUAGGGGCGUGCGGAACUUCCGGUGGAGCGGUGAAAUGCGUAGAUAUCGGAAGGAACGCCGGUGGCGAAAGCGGCGCGCUGGAUCUCUUCUGACGCUGAGGCGCGAAAGCCAGGGGAGCAAAGCGGG
rnacentral:rRNA from 1 species